GAUGAACGCUGGCGGCGUGCCUAAUACAUGCAAGUCGAGCGAACAGACGAGGAUCUUGCUCCUCUUACGUUAGCGGCGGACGGGUGAUUAACACGUGGCUAACCUACCUUUAAGACUGGGAUAACUUCGGGAAACCGGAUCUAACACCGGAUAAUAUAUUGAACCGCAUGGUUCAUUAGUGCAAGCCGUUUUUGCUGUCCCUUAUAGAUGGAUCCGCGCCGCAUUAGCUAGUUGGUAAGGUAACGGCUUACCAAGGCAACGAUGCGUAGCCGACCUGAGAGGGUGAUCAGCCACACUGGAACUGAGACACGGUCCAGACUCCUACGGGAGGCAGCAGUAGGGAAUCUUCCGCAAUGGGCGAAAGCCUGACGGAGCAACGCCGCGUGAGUGAUGAAGGUCUUCGGAUCGUAAAACUCUGUUAUUAGGGAAGAACAAAUGUGUAAGUAACUAUGCACGUCUUGACGGUACCAAAACAGAAAGCAACGGCUAACUACGUG
rnacentral:rRNA from 1 species